GUGGGGAAUAUUGGACAAUGGGCGAAAGCCUGAUCCAGCCAUGCCGCGUGUGUGAAGAAGGUCUUCGGAUUGUAAAGCACUUUAAGUUGGGAGGAAGGGUAGUAACCUAAUACGUUGCUACUUUGACGUUACCGACAGAAUAAGCACCGGCUAACUUCGUGCCAGCAGCCGCGGUAAUACGAAGGGUGCAAGCGUUAAUCAGAAUUACUGGGCGUAAAGCGCGCGUAGGUGGUUCAGUAAGUUGGAAGUGAAAUCCCCGGGCUCAACCUGGGAACUGCUUUCAAAACUGCUGAGCUAGAGUACGGUAGAGGGUGGUGGAAUUUCCUGUGUAGCGGUGAAAUGCGUAGAUAUAGGAAGGAACACCAGUGGCGAAGGCGACCACCUGGACUGAUACUGACACUGUGGUGCGAAAGCGUGGGGAGCAAACAGGAUUAGAAACCCUUGUAGUCC
rnacentral:rRNA from 1 species